rnacentral:rRNA from 1 species
UACAGAGGGGGCAAGCGUUAUUCGGCAUUAUUGGGCGUAAAGGGCGCGUAGGCGGCUAGAUGUGUCAAAGGUGAAAUCCCUCGGCUCAACUGAGGAACUGCCUUUGAAACUGUCUGGCUUGAGGCCGGGAGAGGGUAGCGGAAUUCCCAGUGUAGCGGUGAAAUGCGUAGAUAUUGGGAGGAACACCAGUGGCGAAGGCGGCUACCUGGACCGGUUCUGACGCUGAGGCGCGAAAGCGUGGGUAGCAAACAGG